rnacentral:rRNA from 1 species
AGGAUGAACGCUGGCGGCGUGCCUAAGACAUGCAAGUCGAGUGGGUUUAGACCCACGGCGAACGGGUGAGUAAUACCUAGGAACUUUUUCAAGUUGAGGAUAUCCUUCCGAAAGGAAGUGCAAUACUCGAUGUGACCGCAAGGUUAAAGUCGCAAGACGCUUGAAGCAAGGCCUGGGCACCAUCAGCUAGUUGGUAAGGUAAAGCUUACCAAGGCUAUGACGGUUAGCGGAUCUGAGAGUAUGACCCGCCACACUGGGACUGCGACACGGCCCAGACUCCUACGGGGGGCAGCAGUGAGGAAUUUUCGUCAAUGGGGCAACCCUGAACGAGCAACGCCGCGUGCAGGAAGACACUUUUCGGAGCGUAAACUGCUUUUUCUCGGGGACGAGUAAGGACGGUACCCGAGGAAUCAGCCCCGGCUAACUACGUGCCAGCAGCCGC